UACGGGGGGGGUAAGCGUUGUUCGGAAUUACUGGGCGUAAAGGGUCUCGUAGGCGGCCAACUAAGUCAGACGUGAAAUCCCUCAGCUUAACUGGGGAACUGCGUCUGAUACUGGAUGGCUUGGAUCCGGGAGAGGGAUGCGGAAUUCCAGGUGUAGCGGUAGGAAUGCGUAGAUAUCGGGAGGAACACCGAGUGGCGAAGGCGACUUCCUGGCC
rnacentral:rRNA from 1 species